rnacentral:lncRNA from 1 species
AUGCAUUCAAAACCUUUGUUUGUACUUACUACUAAUUUUUCCCGACUGCACCCUCCCCAUCCCCGACACCAAACCAACAUGACUCAUUCAAAUUUCGACUAAAUAAAUGAAUAGAACGAAAAUAAAAACUCCCAUAGACCAAAAGCGCCAAUCUUAAUGAUUCAAACCCGACUCAAAAACCAACCUUGCUGACAAUAAUUCAACGAAGGAUAUCAACCACUCAAUAACGUAGCAACAAAACAACCUGGAGACUAGGACUAUGAGAGAGUAUUGAUAAGAGUGGCACGAAGGAUAUCAACCACUCAAUAACGUAGCAACAAAACAACCUGAAGACUAGUACUAUGAGAGAGUAUUGAUAAGAGUGGCA